AGAGCGAACGCUGGCGGCAGGCCUAACACAUGCAAGUCGAGCGCUCGUAGCAAUACGAGAGCGGCAGACGGGAGAGUAACACGUGGGAACGUACCCUUUGGUUCGGAACAACACAGGGAAACUUGUGCUAAUACCGAAUAAGCCCUUACGGGGAAAGAUUUAUCGCCAAAGGAUCGGCCCGCGUCUGAUUAGCUAGUUGGUGGGGUAAUGGCUCACCAAGGCGACGAUCAGUAGCUGGUCUGAGAGGAUGACCAGCCUCAUUGGGACUGAGACACGGCCCAAACUCCUACGGGAGGCAGCAGUGGGGAAUAUUGGACAAUGGGCGCAAGCCUGAUCCAGCCAUGCCGCGUGGAUGAUGAAGGCCUUAGGGUUGUAAAGUCCUUUUAACGGGGAAGAUAAUGACGGUACCCGUAGAAUAAGCCCGGCUAACUUCGCGCCAGCAGCCGC
rnacentral:rRNA from 1 species